UGUCUGACAAAGCUUCGUUACAUAUUAUUCUGAAAAUGUACUGCAAGGAUACAGAGCAAGAAGGAAAUGGAUAGAGACUAAAGAAAAACCCAUCUCUCUCAAAGGAAAAGAGAUAGAAAAUGGACACAAAGGACUAAAAGAGAGG
rnacentral:lncRNA from 1 species